rnacentral:rRNA from 1 species
UACGUAGGGGGCAAGCGUUGUCCGGAUUUAUUGGGCGUAAAGCGCUCGCAGGCGGCUCGAUGCGUCGUGCGUGAAACACCCCGGCUCAACUGGGGAGGGUCGUGCGAUACGGUCGGGCUGGAGGCCAGUAGGGGGAUGCGGAAUUCCGGGUGUAGCGGUGAAAUGCGCAGAUAUCGGGAGGAACACCGGUGGCGAAGGCGGUUCUCUGGGCCUUACCUGACACUGAGGAGCGAAAGCGUGGGGAGCGAACAGG